CUAGAAUCAGUGAACAAGUGAAUUUCCACACUAUUAUGAUCUGAUGCUCUGGUAAAUGUCUGCCACAGGGAUUACCUGGGAAGACAGGAGCACCUGGCCUCCAAGGACAUGUAGGGAAGAGUGUGAGUUAUUUACCUUAUAGAUAUUUGAAUUUUUUUUCCAACUCUUAUCUGACUUGGACCAAAGCUGACCACAUUCAAACCAAGAAGGAGGAGUUGCACUGAGGAGGAUCAGGAUGUGCUUUGAAUUAAAUAUGUUAAUAACAGUAUGUGUCAUUCAAAAGGGGGAAGCUGGCAGUAGAGGAAGGAAGGGGACACUAGGAAAACCAGGAGAGAGAGGUAUUAAAGGGAAAGAAGGUCCCAGUGGACUUCCAGGGGGUGAAGGACUAAAGGUAGGAACAAUUAAAAGUCUCAUAUUUAGUCAGUGUUUAUAAAUGAAUCAGUCAGAAUUUCAUGCUGCAUCACUUGCACCAUACUGGUUAUUAUGUUAACAUGAUCUAUAUUUUAUGUUUUAACUCAAUGUGGUUGACCUUGUUGUGAAGGGUAAGAAUGGCGAGGAAGGACCAAAGGGAAAACAAGGCACCCCAGGAGAGAGGGGCAUGUCUGGACCACAGGGAUACAGAGGACCGGCUGGUAUUCAGGGUAACAUUGGACCAUGGGGUGGGAUUGGGCCCCGGGGCAUUCCAGGUGACCGAGGGCCACAAGGUCCAGUUGGCCCUCGUGGAGUUACAGGUUACCCAGUAAGGUUUUUUUUAAUGCUUUUCUUUUUAAGAUUGAACUUUAGUUUUCUAAAUGUUUGAUCUUAUUUUUUUUUUCAUUAAAGAUUGAAAGCAAACCAAAAUCAAAGAUAAAACUGACCAAAAAUGAUUAUGCGCUAAUUUGCUAUGGUUAACUCCAACUAUGCUGCCUACGUCCAGACUGAACACCCUGGGGUUUAUAAGGUGCUUGGACCAUCAAUAAUGGCUACAUUACCGUUAUCUGUCACAGUAGGUCAUGAGUCAGCGUGCUCUACCACUGGUCAGGGUUGGCUGCUCUAAGUAACACUUUUGUUCAACAAGCCAAAAUAUCAGUCAUAAAAAAAAUAUUUUCUUGCAACAGCUGUUUUGAGUCUAUAGGCUAACAACAGACCUCUUUGGUUUUGAAAUCAAGGCCUGGUCAUAGUAAGGAUGAAUUACAUCAUAGAUUACACUGGUACUUCAAGCUUGUGACAGUGUCAUCGAGAUUUGUAUUUUUCUAAAACAAUUGCUCAUCAUCUACAACACAAAAUGUACUGUCAAUUUUCAUGUUGUGCGCUGUUCAUCUGCUUUGAACAAAGGGAGCAUGCAGGAGCAUUACUGGAAUCACCCAGACAUCAUUAGGAUUUUGGUGGGGGAUUCAUCAAUCAUCAAUUUAAAAAAAUAUAUGUCUGAGGGGACACUUUAUAUGUCAUUUAUUUGAUCAAUAUAAUGAUUGACAAUUUUUGAUAGAUUUGUCUUCUGUACUUCAGAAGUUUGCCUUAGAGUAAACACAACUGUAGAACCUGAAUUUUAUUUUUAAUUCAAAGACAGCUUUGAACAUAUUUUGGCUAUAUUUAUGUACAGAAAUGUAUGUACAUCAACACACAGCCUUUACACAUAAUCGUUUAGAAAUACAAAUUUAAAUACUCCCCUCCUUUGAGAGAAGCUCAUAUAGGGAGUAAGUCUUUUUUGGGCAAUUGUUGCUUUAAUC
rnacentral:lncRNA from 1 species